rnacentral:rRNA from 1 species
CCUACGGGUGGCAGCAGUGAGGAAUAUUGGUCAAUGGACGGAAGUCUGAACCAGCCAUGCCGCGUGCAGGAAGACGGCUCUAUGAUUUGUAAACUGCUUUUGUACAAGGGUAAACCUGAAUAUGUGUAUUCAGCUGAACGUACUGUACGAAUAAGGAUCGGCUAACUCCGUGCGAGCAGCCGCGGUAAUACGGAGGAUCCAAGCGUUUUCCGGAUUUAUUGGGUGUAAAGGGUGCGUAGGCGGAUUGAUAAGUUAGAGGUGAAAUCUCCGGGCUUAAAUCGGGAACUGCAUCUGAUACUGUUGAUCUAGAGAGUAGGUGCGGUAGGCGGAAUGUAUGGUGUAGCGGUGAAAUGCUUAGAGAUCAGACAGAACACCGAUUGCGAAGGCAGCUUAC